AUCUCACGUUCAUCUCAUUCCAUUGGAGUCGCCGCCAGGCCAAUUGGCAGCUACCUUAUUCCUCAGAUCUACGUUUUUCUACACCUCCUUUAUCAAUUUCGCCUUGAAAUUCUUGUAGAUCGCUAGGUGAUCUUCGUUUUGGUUAUGGCUUUUAGGUACUUCGUACCCGAGCUGAUGUUUGGCCGUUUAUCUCACCGUUCAGCUGAUUUUCAGCCGUUUAAUCUACCGUGUGGCUGAAGUUUGUUUGCGGUGGGAGGAGGAUGUGGCUUGCGAUCGAUGAGGUUUGGGUAGAGUUAUCACAGUAUUCAAUUAUCGGUGCAGCAGAUGCGAUCUGUGGGUUGACUCUUGGUCUCUUACGUCCAGGGGGGUGACUCCUUUUUCAACUGAAUCAUCUUGGAGGCGCUUGAGGUCCAGACUUGGUGUAGAUACCCGUUGCGGUUUAGCUUAAGGCGAUUGUUCGGUGACCUGAGUUUCGUACAUCUAAUCCUGCCUGCUUUUCCGAUUGCGAACUUCUGAAGAAUCAGUCGCAGGCAUCGCUUAUAUUGGUUACAAGGUUCUAAUGGUUUAAUUAGUUUAAAGAGAUUUUGUUGUUAUUUAAUCCUCUUACUGCAUAAUUCUCUUGCAUGCUGGGGUACAUAGAAAAAUAAAUGGUGAGGAGUCAUGUAAAAAAAGAGAGAAUGAGUUCUCUUUUUGAAAAAGUGGAGAGGAGAGACGAUGUGGGGAGAUUGAUGUGGUUGUCUAAACGACCUUUGCCAUGUUGGGUGCGCUCGCAUGGCAGGUCCCUACGUAAUAAAAUUUUAUCUUUUUUUUUUGAGGGGAGAUGGUACGGGGAUUUGCCCGGCUCUCCCCUCUGUGUGUGGUGUCCUUUUCUUGUUUUUCCUUUUCCUUUCUGGGUUUGUUGUCCUAUGCUCCAUGCCUGACUUCACAUCCAGCUCCAUAUUCAGAACCCUACCAACAUAUUUGGUCUUGAAUGGGUUGUGGCGUCUAAGCAAAUACUUAACCCAUUUGAGACCAAAACAUGCCAAGUCACUUUUGAGGAAAGUCAAUGAGCAAGCAUAUACAAGGAUUGUUCAACCGUAACUUUCGACUCCAAAACUAUCAACUGCACUAGAGGUAAAAAAUUGGUACUCAUUAUUUUAUUUUAGUUUGAUGCAGAAACUACCAACUGCAAUUAAGGUAUAAUUGAUGCUCAGUUAUUUUGUGAUAGUUUGAUAAGGAACUACCAACUGCACAGGAGGUUAAAUUGAUGCCCGUGAUAUUUUAUGUUGGAUACAAAACUAUUGAAGGUAAAAAUUGGUACUACUUAUUUAUGGUGGUCUAAUUUAGAAAUUAAAUUGCACCAAAGGGAAAAAGUGAUGCUUGUUACUUUAUAUUAGUUUGGCUACUGUUCUAAUUUUACUAUUUGUUGAAAUUGAACAGCCUUGAAAUAAGAACAUUAACAUUGCUGCCUGUAACUUGAAUCCCUGAGCCGUUAACGGACUACAAUAUUGAACUGAAUACUAUGAUAUAACAUAUUUAAAUUACUAUUUGGCAACGUACACGCCUUGAUUACAUAAUUCUCAAAACAUUGCAUCCUAACAAUCUUUGAUAAUAUCAAUUAUCAUCCUAACCAAUCUUAUUUUAUGGGGUUUACUACUGCAUGUCAACCAACAGUAUUGAUUAUGUUACAUGUCAAUUAUUUGAUUCUGUUGGGUAGAUCCUGAGCUUAUUAGUUCUAGACUCUGUACCUUGUCUAAUUUAUUCUGCUUUUAACUAUAGAGCAAUGAGAGUCGGUCUUACUGUACGAUGUAGUUUGGGCAGAGGUGUUCUGUCUGUAAUAAGGUGCAAUUUGGUUGUGGUGAGACUGGAGUGCUUAUUUGUUCAAGGGUAGUCAAUAUGCUCAGGAAAAAAGCAGGUUGGGUCUUGUACUUGUGGAGGCUUUGCAACUCAUAUUAUGGCAAUACCUGGUCAUGGUGCUGCUGAUUCUUGCGUGGUGCUUGUUGCUUGAACUUCUUGGCUGCUGGUCCUGAUCGGAUUGAGAGUUCCGGAGUACUCAUACUGUUGCUGGUGUCCACUGGUGGUAUCUUAUCCAUGCGAAUUUGUUUGAAUACAGUUGCAGUUCAGAAGUUUUGCGAGGAUCGCCCGUUUUGUUUCACUGUCUUCCAACUGCACAGAUCUCGCCUCAUUUUGUGUGCCUGUUCGAUUCAGAGAUUACCAAUUCCUCAUAGGUCUUGUUGGCCUUUUUGAUGGUUGUACAGUAAGCCCAUCAGGAAAAUAGAUGCAAUUUUCCUUCAGCAUUGUUUUUAAUUUAUGGUUUUGAUGUGAACUGUUGAGGUCUGAUUUGAAUUACUCAUGACUGUAAUGUUUCUAUAUAUUGUUUCUUGAUGAUGAAAGCCAGUUUCUCUCUUUGGGUUUUUGGUAAAUGUACAGAUGGAGUAUGGCAUGGAACUGCUUCGACUCUGCAAUGCUAGUUGGGUGGGGUUCGAUGCUCUUUUACAUGGAUUGGGUUUUUUUGCCAUUUGCUGGUUAAGUGUGGUUUCUGUGAGAGAGCUGCUUGGACAAUCAAUGUCCUGGCAACCCUACGAGGCUCUCAAGGCAGUGGAAUAGGGCAACUCCCCUUCCAGGGGAAGAACGAAACACCAAAUGAGCAAGGGAUUAGCGAGUAAGCACCUGCUGAUCUACAGUAGGAUGACUCUUUUACCCGCUAUCGCAAGCCCACCAGCCAGGACGGAGUCUUGCAGGGAAUGUUUAUGCGCUGAUCUGCAGUACCUGCCACCCCUAGCACACCAGCGAGGAGGAAGUUUUGCAGGGAAUGUUGCGUGGGAAGAUUCUUGUUGACAACCAAGCUGCUAUUGCCAUCGGUCAUAAUUGCGUGUUUCAUGGGGGAGACUUAAUUUUUUAUCAUCAAGUUAUUCUUUCUAAGGGAAGAUAGAAACAUGGGGAUGUGGUUCUGACUACUGCCAAACAAAGGACCAAGUUGUAGACAUUUUAACCAAGCCAUUGCCUGCUUGCAAGUUCGAGUUUUGAGGUCUUGGUUUGGAGGUUGUACCCACUAAAGCAAGGAGUGUUAAGAAGGUGCUUCAUGUCUCAAACAUGUCCAUGUGGUUCUGACUAUGAUUGUUCUUGUUAUUAACUUU